UCAAACACAGGUGGGUUGAGAGUUAAAGAAUGUAAAAAAUGAAACCUAUAAAUAGAAACCAGGAGAGAGCUGGAUUAGCUAUAUUUGUGUCAGACAAAAUAGACUUAAGAUAAAGUUGUUACAGAAAACAUUUUGUACUAAUACAGGGCUAAUUCAGCAGGAGGGUGCAACAAUAAGCCCUACGAACUUAACAACUGAGCCUCAAGUGCAUGAAACUAAGAGUGCAGAACCGCGGAGGGCACGCCACUCAGGGAUGCUAGUUGGAGGUUUCAAUAUUUUCAAUAAUUUACAGAACAAUUGGGCAGGAAAUCACCGUAGGUAUUGCUCCAGUUCACCUGUGGUUGAGUGUGUACCCAGAGGCUGGGACCCUCCAGGGGCAGCGUUAGAAGGAGGUCGAGCGUUUCAGAGGUGAGGCCCAGUACAAGAUGAGGAGGCCAUUGGGGUGCCACCCUCAGAGAGGACUCACAACCUUGUGGAGUCGGUUCUCGUGACAGCAGACUGUCCUUUGUAAAGCAGAGCCAUCCCCUGUCCUUGGCCUCUUCCGCACGUGGCUCUGUCCCCUUCUCUGUCAUGGUGUGGCCCAUCCAAAGCUCCCCUCAACAGAGCCCAGACAGAGGAGACUGCCUGAUCUUGGACAUUCAGCUGCCAACACUGAGAGCUAAGUGAAUUCCUCUCCUUUAUGAAGUACCCAGCAUCAGGUACCUGGUCACAGCAAUGAAAAGCACGCUACUACUGAUAAAGAACACUGAACCACACUACGCUCAACUUGUCCCCAUAGACUUCCUACGACUUUGAACCCAACAACAGCAGAGUCAAUACUUUCUCCAGGAUUGGCCAUAAACUAAACCAUAGAAUAUACCCUAAAAAUUUCUUAAAACUUGAAAGUUUGUAUUCUGGUCACCAUAGAAAUAAACUGGAAAUCCAUGAAUUUUUGGAAAUUAACAGCAUAGUCAUAAAUAGCAUAUGUCAAAAGAAAAACUAUGAGAGAAAUUAGAAAUAUUUUAACUCAAUGAAAUUGAAAACACAGCAUAUCAACAUUUAAGAGAUACAGUUAAAGCAAUACAGGAAAAAUCAUAGCUUUUUAUUAGAGUCUGUAAACAAGUCAAGAUGGCGCCUGGCAUUUUGCCAGAGGGAGUGGUUUGUGAAGUAAC
rnacentral:lncRNA from 1 species